AUACGGAGGGUGCAAGCGUUAUUCGGAAUCACUGGGCGUAAAGGACGCGUAGGCGGGUUGGCAAGUCAGAUGUGAAAUCCUACAGCUUAACUGUAGAACUGCAUUUGAAACUGCUAACCUAGAGUAUGGGAGGGGGAGAUGGAAUUAGUGGUGUAGGGGUAAAAUCCGUAGAUAUCACUAGGAAUACCGAAAGCGAAGGCGAUCUCCUGGAACAUAACUGACGCUAAGGCGUGAAAGCGUGGGGAGCCAACAGGAUUAGAAACCCUAGUAGUCC
rnacentral:rRNA from 1 species